ACGUAGGUGGCAAGCGUUGUUCGGAAUUAUUGGGCGUAAAGGGCGCGUAGGCGGUUUGUUAAGUCGGCUGUGAAAGCCCGGGGCUCAACCCCGGAGGGUCAGCCGAUACUGGCAGACUAGAGUACGGAAGAGGUAGCUGGAAUUCCCGGUGUAGCGGUGAAAUGCGUAGAGGUGUGGAGGAACACCGAUGGCGAAGGCAGCCCCCUGGGUCAACACUGACGCUCAUGCACGAAAGCGUGGGGAGCAAACAGGA
rnacentral:rRNA from 1 species